ACUAACGUUUCUUUAGUAUAACCAUGGAGUAUAAAAUUCAAUAUAUUCUCGGUAUUGCAUUGGACUGUACGAUCGACGGAAGUUAUCGAGAUCCUUAAGUCACGUGUUCCACCCGCUGGUGAUUGCGUAAAAUAACACAGAAAUAACAGCUCUCGACAACAAUCUCCUCAGACACGGACUGAAUAACUGCUGCUAGAAACGAUGCUGCUCACAGAGUCUGAGAUGUUUGAGAUGUCAGUGGUCCAGUCCUCCAGACCCUCACAGAUGUCCACUGACUGAGAAGUCCCAGGCCAGCCUGCAACCCACAACCAGCCAAACCUGAAAAUGGCCUUCCCACGGCCUCUGACUCACUGCGACGGUUGUGGUGGCUGGGACGCGGAGAAACGAGGACCGGGUCUGUCAGAACAGGACUCAAGCGGCCCGAAUCGGCCUCUUCUGAGCUGACGGACGCCCCCUGGAGCUUGCUGUGAGGAAGGACAUCAAAACAACCUGAGCAGCCAGUGAUCUGUGUGGAAGUCCAGGGCAUGCACACGGACAUAUGCCUCACACUGACCCC